GUUCACAGCCUUGAAGAGAAACAGGAGUUUAUGUAGGCGGCACGCUUUACGUGACGGAGAAGUCAAUAAUGAUUUUUACCGGAACUGUCCCUGGCAUAGGGUGUGGAGAACAAUACGACGCCACUGAGCCUUCCUGCAGUCUGAUCCAUUCAUAAAGUUUACUUUAAGUAAAGGCUGAUCCUUCAUGUGGACAAAAAACCGUAACUGAAACCUGAUUACUGGCAGUAAAUAAGAAGUAAAUAUUGGAAUGACAACAUCAGUAACGAAAGGUGAUAACAGAUUGCAGCCAACAAUAACGAUGCCAAAACAGUCGAAUGUUUCCUCUCUGAAGUGAAUGCGCCAGAGUUCAGGAGGCAUUGAAGAGUUUUGUUCCAGUGUAGUGGACACCUUUUUGCACCAAGCUCAAAUUUCUAUGCUCACUGUGUAUAUCAUUCUUCUUCCAUGUGUUAUGCUCAUGAUAAUUACUGUUUGGAUGAAAUAUCUCUAUAUUCUUACAGACAAAACACAUGAGAGAAAAGAUGUAUUGCCAUGUAGUUGUGUAUAUUUUAAGUUUGUGAAAGCUAUUUCUACACGAGUCUCUUGGGCGCAAUCCACAUAUAACCCUUAAAGCUCGCUUCUGAGCAAUGAUCACUUUCCUUGCUGAAGGCUGUUUGCCCCAAAAAAUAAUGCCAUAUUUAACGAGUGAGUGAAAAUAGCCAUAGUAUACCAUUUUUGCAGUGUUAGGUUCAACACAAGUAGUGACAGCCCGUAAAGUAUACGUAGCAGAGCUAAGCCUCUUACAGAGAUAUGCGAAGACCAGUUCAUUUUCUUGUCAAUGUGCACUCCAAGAAAUUUUGUUGUUUCCAUUCUUUCUAUUGGCUGAUUACCACAUGUCACACUUAUCUCUCUCUCUUUUUCUGUUUUUGAACAGAAAUGAAUAAAACUGGUCUUACUGGAAUUUAAUGAGAGACCA